GACGAACGCUGGCGGCGUGCCUAAUACAUGCAAGUCGAACGCAGUGGGGACGGGUGAGUAACACGUGGGUAACCUCCCAUCAGAGGGGAUAACACUUGGAAACAGGUGCUAAACCGAUAUUGAUGGUUGGACCCGCGGUGCAUUAGCUAGUUGGUGAGGUAACGGCUCACCAAGGCCACGGUGCAUAGCCGCCAGGAGAGGGUGAGCGGCCAGACUGGGACGGAGACACGGCCCAAGCUCCUGCGGGAGGCAGCAGUAGGGAAUCUUCGGCAAUGGACGAAAAACUGACGGCGCAACGCCGCGAGAGUGAAGAAGGUUUUCGGAUCGUAAAACUCUGUUGUUAGAAAAGCGGUAUCUAACCAGAAAGCCACGGCUAACUACGUGCCAGCAGCCGCGGUAAUUC
rnacentral:rRNA from 1 species